AGCGUUGUUCGGAAUCACUGGGCGUAAAGCGCACGUAGGCGGAUUUCAAGUCAGGGGUGAAAUCCCGGAGCUCAACUCCAGAAUAGCCUUUGAAACUGGAGAACUUGAGUCCGGGAGAGGUGGGUGGAAUUGCGAGUGUAG
rnacentral:rRNA from 1 species